GUAGGGAAUAUUGGGCAACUGUCGGAAGACUGACCCAGCCAUGCCGCGUGCAGGAAGACGGCCCUCUGGGUUGUAAACUGCUUUUAUCUGGGAAGAAAAAGGCCAUGCGUGGCAAAUUGCCGGUACCAGAUGAAUAAGCACCGGCUAACUCCGUGCCAGCAGCCGCGGUAAUACGGAGGGUGCGAGCGUUGUCCGGAUUUAUUGGGUUUAAAGGGUGCGUAGGCGGCUGAUUAAGUCAGCGGUGAAAGACUUCGGCUUAACCGGAGCAGUGCCGUUGAUACUGGUUGGCUUGAGUGUCGGAGGGGUACAUGGAAUUGAUGGUGUAGCGGUGAAAUGCAUAGAUACCAUCAGGAACACCGAUAGCGAAGGCAUUGUACUGGCCGACAACUGACGCUGAUGCACGAAAGUGUGGGGAUCGAACAGGAUUAGAAACCCCUGUAGUCC
rnacentral:rRNA from 1 species